rnacentral:rRNA from 1 species
AUGAACGCUAGCGGCAGGCUUAAUACAUGCAAGUCGAACGGUAACAGGUCUUCGGACGCUGACGAGUGGCGCACGGGUGAGGAACACGUACACAAUCUACCUUAUACUGGAGAAUAGCCCCGGGAAACUGGGAUUAAUACUCCAUAGUCUUUAAUGAUCACAUGAGAAAUAAGUAAAAGCUUCGGCGGUAUAAGAUGAGUGUGCGUCCCAUUAGAUUGUUGGUGAGGUAACGGCUCACCAAGUCGACGAUGGGUAGCUGGCGUGAGAGCGCGACCAGCCACACUGGCACUGAGACACGGGCCAGACUCCUACGGGAGGCAGCAGUAGGGAAUAUUGGUCAAUGGACGAAAGUCUGAACCAGCCAUGCCGCGUGGAGGAUGACUGCCCUCUGGGUUGUAAACUCCUUUUAUAUGGGAAGAAACCUCUGGAUUCACUCCAGAGCUGACGGUAUCAUAUGAAUAAGCACCGGCUAACUCCGUG